rnacentral:tRNA from 1 species
UUAGUUAAAGCUUUUUAGAAGCAUUUUAUUGUUACUAAAAAUAUAAGGGUUUUAUUCCUUUAGCUAAG